GGUACUCCAACAGGGAAAGUCCAAGAUACAACAGAUAAGAUGUCCCUGCAACCAUCCAAACAGAUGAGGAAAGAGCUGAAGGAACCCCUGCAGACAAGAGAAGAGAUGGACAUAGAGCUUCAGUGGAAGGUGGCAAUUCCUGAAGGAAGCACUCCAUCUUCAAUGCGAGCCCCUGCUGCAGGAAGGAAGGCGAUGCCAGACACGGGCACAGGCACAGCAGACUGGGAUGCUGGGACGGUUCCUCCAUUAGCCUGGCGCUCUGAAGUUGUGAAGCCCUCUGAGCAUUCUGCAG